rnacentral:rRNA from 1 species
UCGAGAAUCUUCCGCAAUGGGCGCAAGCCUGACGGAGCGACGCCGCGUGCGGGAUGAAGGCCUUCGGGUUGUAAACCGCUGUCAGUUGGGAGGAAAUCCAUAGGGGUUCUCCCCUAUGGUUGACCUAUCUUCAGAGGAAGGGCGGGCUAAGUUCGUGCCAGCAGCCGCGGUAAGACGAACCGCCCGAACGUUAUUCGGAAUCACUGGGCUUAAAGGGUGCGUAGGCGGCUUGGCAAGUUGGGUGUGAAAUCCCUCGGCUCAACCGAGGAACUGCGCUCAAAACUGCCAGGCUUGAGGAAGAUAGAGGUGAGCGGAACUUAUGGUGGAGCGGUGAAAUGCGUUGAUAUCAUAAGGAACACCUGUGGCGAAAGCGGCUCACUGGAUCUUUUCUGACGCUGAGGCACGAAAGCUAGGGUAGCGAACGGGAUUAGAUACCCCCGUAGUCC